rnacentral:rRNA from 1 species
UACGGGGGAUGCAAGCGUUAUCCGGAUUUAUUGGGCGUAAAGCGCCUGUAGGUUGUUUAAUAAGUCUGUUGUUAAAGACUAGGGCUUAACCCUGGGAAAGCAAUGGAAACUACUAGACUAGAGUAUGAUAGGGGUAGAGGGAAUUUCUAGUGUAGCGGUGAAAUGCGUAGAUAUUAGGAAGAACACCGGUGGCGAAGGCGCUCUACUGGAUCAUUACUGACACUCAGAGGCGAAAGCUAGGGUAGCAAAAGGGAUUAGAUACCCCUGUAGUCCUAGCCGUAAACGAUGGAUACUAGAUGUUGUGUUCUUAUGCAGUAUCGUAGCUAACGCGUUAAGUAUCCCGCCUGGGGAGUACGCUCGCAAGGGUG